rnacentral:rRNA from 1 species
CGGGGAUGACUCGCUAUUGAAUCUUUGAUGUGUCAUCAAAGAUAACGUAAAGGAAAAUAAUGAUAUUACUUUACUAAUAGUGUCGUCCAAAUACUCGUGCCAGAAGACUCGGUAAGGCGAGAGACGCGAACGUUAUUCGUCUUGAUCAGGCGUAAAGGGUUUGUAGGCUGCUUUAAGAAUCUUACAAUAAGUUUACUAUUAUAAUCCCUACCGAUACGUCAAGUACUAUCGAAUAUAUUAUAAUGUUUUGAUAAGGUCAUUUAAAGCUAGAAUCUAAAAGAGGUUAAAACAAUACUUAAGGUAGGAGUACUAACCGUAAAUAUUAAGUAGAGUUCUAAUGGCGAAGGCAUUUAUCCACUAAAGAUUGACGCUGAGAAACGAAGGUGAGGGCAGAAAAAAGGAUUAGAGACCCUUGUAUUCCUCACUGUCAACGAUGAAUGGUAGUUACUAGUUAGAAAUAAGCUAGAGGCGAUGUUAACACGAAAACCAUUCCGCCUUGUGAGUACGACUGCAAAGUUGAAAACAAAAAAAUUAGUCGGUUUCGGAGCAAACGAAGUGAAGCAUGUUAUUAG